GUGAAGAAGGUCUUCGGAUCGUAAAACCCUGUUGUUAGAGAAGAAAGUGCGUGAGAGUAACUGUUCACGUUUCGACGGUAUCUAACCAGAAAGCCACGGCUAACUACGUGCCAGCAGCCGCGGUAAUACGUAGGUGGCAAGCGUUAUCCGGAUUUAUUGGGCGUAAAGGGAACGCAGGCGGUCUUUUAAGUCUGAUGUGAAAGCCUUCGGCUUAACCGGAGUAGUGCAUUGGAAACUGGGAGACUUGAGUGCAGAAGAGGAGAGUGGAACUCCAUGUGUAGCGGUGAAAUGCGUAGAUAUAUGGAAGAACACCAGUGGCGAAAGCGGCUCUCUGGUCUGUAACUGACGCUGAGGUUCGAAAGCGUGGGUAGCAAACAGGAUUAGAUACCCUGGUAGUCCA
rnacentral:rRNA from 1 species